rnacentral:rRNA from 1 species
AUUGAACGCUGGCGGCAGGCCUAACACAUGCAAGUCGAGCGGAUGAAGGGAGCUUGCUCCUGGAUUCAGCGGCGGACGGGUGAGUAAUGCCUAGGAAUCUGCCUGGUAGUGGGGGAUAACGUCCGGAAACGGGCGCUAAUACCGCAUACGUCCUGAGGGAGAAAGUGGGGGAUCUUCGGACCUCACGCUAUCAGAUGAGCCUAGGUCGGAUUAGCUAGUUGGUGGGGUAAAGGCCUACCAAGGCGACGAUCCGUAACUGGUCUGAGAGGAUGAUCAGGCACACUGGAACUGAGACACGGUCCAGACUCCUACGGGAGGCAGCAGUGGGGAAUAUUGGACAAUGGGCGAAAGCCUGGUCCAGCCAUGCCGCGUGUGUGAAGAAGGUCUUCGGAUUGUAAAGCACUUUAAGUUGGGAGGAAGGGCAGUAAGUUAAUACCUUGCUGUUUUGACGUUACCAACAGAAUAAGCACCGGCUAACUUCGUG